GGAGGGGGCUAGCGUUGUUCGGAAUUACUGGGCGUAAAGCGCACGUAGGCGGCGAUUUAAGUCAGAGGUGAAAGCCCGGGGCUCAACCCCGGAAUAGCCUUUGAGACUGGAUUGCUUGAACAUCGGAGAGGUGAGUGGAAUUCCGAGUGUAGAGGUGAAAUUCGUAGAUAUUCGGAAGAACACCAGUGGCGAAGGCGGCUCACUGGACGAUUGUUGACGCUGAGGUGCGAAAGCGUGGAGAGCAAACAGGAUUAGAUACCCUGGUAGUCCACGCCGUAAACGAUGAUAACUAGCUGCUGGGGCUCAUGGAGUUUCGGUGGCGCAGCUAACGCAUUAAGUUAUCCGCCUGGGGAGUACGGUCGCAAGAUUA
rnacentral:rRNA from 1 species